rnacentral:rRNA from 1 species
AUUGAACGCUGGCGGCGUGCCUAACACAUGCAAGUCGCACGCGAAAGGGGGCAACCCCAAGUAGAGUGGCGGACGGGUGAGUAACGCGUAGGAAUCUACCUAGUAGUGGGGGACAACCCGGCGAAAGCCGGGCUAAUACCGCAUACGACCUAAGGGUGAAAGCAGGGGAUCGCAAGACCUUGCGCUAUUAGAUGAGCCUGCGUCCGAUUAGCUAGUUGGUGAGGUAACGGCUCACCAAGGCGACGAUCGGUAACUGGUUUGAGAGAACGACCAGUCACAUUGGGACUGAGACACGGACCAAACUCCUACGGGAGGCAGCAGUGGGGAAUAUUGGACAAUGGGGGCAACCCUGAUCCAGCGACGCCGCGUGUGUGAAGAAGGCCUUCGGGUUGUAAAGCACUUUCGGCAGGGACAAACAAGACGGAGCUAACAUCUCCGUUCCUGAUGGUACCUGAAGAAGAAGCACCGGCUAACUCUGUGCCAGCCGCCGCCGUAA